ensembl:lncRNA
GGGCGUUCUUCAAUAUUUAAUCAAGGGUGUGUUUGAAGAUCUGUCUGUGUGUGAGAGCAGUAACUGGAGAGGAGAAGGUUUAAGAUGAAAGACUUUCUUCACUCUCUUUUCUCACUUUCACAUGCAGACGCUCUUCUGUGGACUCAGCAUCAGACGGGACGCCCGCUGUCCGCCCGCUGACCGUCUGAUGCACGCUUCACCUGAAACACAAGCACUUUCUCAAUCUAGUAAACUCUAAUGUGACUGGCUGACUUUAUGGAGCUUCCAAGAAAGCUCCCAGGGUUUUUCUCCAGUCUGUUUGGAAAAGUUGUGUUGACUGAGGAUCAAAUCUUUCAAGAAUGAAAUCAUCGCUGGAUUUACCAAAGUUUGUGAGGUCUGUUUGUCAUCUCGUACGACCUGCGGCGUCACACACCUCAAAGAGCUCUGAGCUGCUGUCAUCAGAUCACAUGACCUCAGCGCUGAGAAGAAACGACCGGCGUGUAAAUACUUCAACGCAGGGAUUAACUGAAAAUUCAGAGAGUAUUUUAAAUCAUGAUAAACCUUUCUAAGAAUAGACUCUCAGCGUUUGAACACAGCAGAACAUCACAACAGACAGAAAAACACACAGACACGUCUCCCAGGGGACACUGAUAACUUUCACAAAUAUGUUCUUCAUGAAAUUUGUUUGUGUACCACAACAGAAUUGCAAAAUAAUUGUUUCCCAA